UACGGGGGGGGCAAGCGUUGUUCGGAAUUACUGGGCGUAAAGGGUGCGUAGGCGGCUUGGUGGGUCUGGUGUGAAAGCCCCGGGCUCAGCCCGGGAAGGGCGCUAGAAACUGCCGAGCUCGAGUGCCGGAGGGGAGAGUGGAAUUCCUGGUGUAGCGGUGAAAUGCGUAGAUAUCAGGAGGAAUACCGGUGGCGAAAGCGACUCUCUGGACGGCAACUGACGCUGAGGCACGAAAGCGUGGGGAGCAAACAGG
rnacentral:rRNA from 1 species